AUCAAUGAGGAGGUGCCCCAGGUUGGGACUGGGGCUGACUCUUUGGGGAAGGUUGCGAAGAGUCUGCAGAUGAUGCAGAAAGUUCUUUAAGACCUCCCCCAGCAGUGACUCCGAAAAGGGCAAGCCCCCCAGAGGGAGGUUCUGGCCACGAAGCAAGCGGGUUGAGCCGACUCCAGCGCCACCUCCAACUCCCUCAGGGGGCACCCCGGCAGUCUCGGGAGUCACCAUCGGUUUGACAACUAUCCAGGAGGAAGUGCACAGAGCUGAGGUCAUCUUCUGCUGGACCCAGUUCCUGUCCGCAGUAAUAGAAAACGUCAAAGACAUCAGGUCGCAGGGUGGUCAGCUUCUGACCUAUGAUAAGGAUGAGGCUGUGGAAGCCGUACUGGAAAUUAUGGAGGAUGUCAAAAAGCAUCCGGACCCUGGGUUCCUGCUGCGGUUAAGCCUGGACGCCGUCACGGAACUCACCAAAAUGAAGCCGCCUAUGCCCUUCAAUCUCAAGGCAGCAGUCCUCAAUGUGGCGGUGUCCGGGCUGAACCAAGUGGACCCAGGGACCCAGGAGAACAUGGCAUCCUUUAAGAAGAUGCUCGGGGGCUGCUGGAGGACGCCCCCUCUGUCUACAGCACCAUUGGCAUCUUGAAGGAGCUCCACAGGUAUAUUGAAUCAGAGGAGCCCCGGCUGCAGGCUCUGGGCCGAGAAGCCUACGUCUACGUCCUGCAGCAUGUGGCCAGACUGCCCAAUGUGGAACUGACCACACACAAGGCUCUCUUGCGCAUUGAAGAUGACUUGACUCAUCAUUUGAUUGAAAGCACCAUCAAAGAUGAUCUUGUCCUGGAGGACUUCAAUGAGGAGGAGGAGUCUGCUAAUUGUAUGAGUAUCAGAAUGGAGCGGGUGGGACUGGUUGAAUAGCCAUUUGAGCCGGAGACUCAAUCUUUUGUCUUUUUGUUUGGUUUUCUAGGCUGAGAGAGAACAACUACUCCAACAAUAAUAGAACUUGGUUACCCAGUGGCAGUAGAUUCAGGACAGACUGCUUUGCACAAUGCAUCUUUAUGUUGCGGGAUUCCCUUCGAGAUGUCGGGAGUGCCACCGGCUUCGCUUAAGAAUUACGCCAAUUAAUGGAAGAUAGGUCUGUCGAUAGACAGGUGAGCUCUGGGGAGCCCGGUGAAGGAUUGCAGGUAUCCCUCUGAGGGAAUGGAUGCUGAGGAAAAACAGAAGAAAGAACAGGGAAAGGCGGAGAGGACUUGCCCCAGCUUGUGGCCCAUUUUAUCCUCCGAUGCCAAUCUCUGGAAAAAAGAUACUUUCCCCCUGCUUAGUUGCCUAUGUGCCGUGAGCGUCUGGAGUUGCUUCUUGUGAAUGGGUUGGUUGGUGGGUUGGGUAUUUUUCGAUCUCCCCUUUAUGAUACUAGUUGGAAAGAAAGUCACUUCUGCUGUAUUAGAUUGACUGGCCUGGAUCAUGUGACGUUCUUUCUUUCUUUCUUUCUUUCUUUCUUUCUUUCUUUCUUUCUUUCUUUCUUUCUUUCUUUCAUGACAGGCUAGAACUACUGAUGGAUGGGCUAACAGUCCAAAUUCCAAAACAGCCAUCCCAGUUCCUAGAGGAAAGGUCUCUCUCUCUCUCUCUCUCUCUCUCUCUCUCUCUCUCAUUUUAUUGAAUGUAAGUACAAAUAGCUGGCUCUUUCUUUCAAGUUUGAGGUCAUUCAGUAAUAAGUCUUCCCCAAUGCAAACUCUUUUGAGGGUUACAAUUUUAUGUUUUGUUUUCCCCCAGUGUUAUAGUAGUGUUGCUUGUCAAAGUGAAAGUGGCUCUCAUAUGGAAACCCUGACACCUUCCGUGCACACGUAAGAACAGGAUCACUGGUUCGUGUUCCCAUAUGGAAGUGUACAUAAACAUUGAAUGCAGCUCUAAACCAGCCAGGAUCCACCAAGCCAAGUGUCGUCAUAUACGUUGGCCCACCCGGCGUCAAUGAACCUCCUGUCUUGGCUGCUGUCUUUGACUCAGCAGAUCCCCAUUUCUGUCAUCCUGAUUCCAUCCCUUCGGUCUUGUGUUCCAGACAGCAAUCGUGUGUAGGAUCUGUAAAGCUUUUGCUCAAAUUCCAAGCACAGUGGUCUCACCCUACAGACACCCUUCAGGUUACUCCUGAAAUGGGAAACAUGUUCUUUGGCUCUAAUUUCGUUUUCUGACAUUAGAAACCGGAUAGAUCCAAUUUGGAAGUAUUUAUUUUUUAUAAUUUAUUCUAUUUCUAUACCGCCCUUCCAAAAAUGGCUCAGGGAGGUUUAAACAGAGAAAUAAUAAAUCAAUAAGAAGGAUCCCUGUCCCCAAAGGGCUCGCAAUCUAAGAAGAAACAUAAGACAGACACCAGCAACUGUCACUGGAGAUACUGUGCUGGGGGUGGAUAGGGCCAGUUACUCUCCCCCGCUAAAUAAAGAGAAUCACCAAGUUAAAGGUACCUCUUUGCCAAGUUAGCAGGAGAAGCUAUAUUACUUCUAAUG